ACUAUAAAAAAUACCAAAACUAAAACAGAAACCUGCACUUUUGUCAUAGCCAGAUAAUGUGUUUGAACUGCCUGACCUGUCUUGGUGAAAAGAGAGACCAACUGAAUAAUAUGAUCAGAUCUAUGGAAGAGGAAUAUUCAAGCUGAUAAGGCACAAUAGGACAGCACAAAUAAGCACCAACAUACUCUGAAAUAAAGAAGUUCCAGACAUAGAGGAUGCUGGCAUUUCACAGAGCUUUCCAAGUGGCAAUUCUAUACAUCCUGUGCUCUGAUUCUAGAGACUCACAGGGAGAAUCAUUAUAUUUUAAUUAUGGGUAUUUUCAGACUGAUGGGAUUUAAUAAAUCAUGAGAGUUAAAAGAUGGACAAGUUAAUAAGGGAAAUAAAGAGGAAGAAAUACAAGACAGAGGAAGAAAACAUCCUUUUUGAAAAGAGUGAAAAGCCAAUCUCAGUUCACCCAGUGCUGUGUCUUGUUUUUCUUCCCCUUCUUUAUUUUUGGAACUCCUUUCAGGAUAAGUGAAGAGUAAUCUCCUGCAUCCCAGAUUAUAUCUGAAUUCUCAGACAUUUCCCAGUUACUCAGGAGUUCUCUGUGUUUCUAUCAAUUUCAAAAAUACCAUGCAAGAAAUUAGUCAAAACAAAUCAAGAAAUGAAAUUAAGAGGAAAUUGUGCUAAUUAAUUUCCCCCCUUUUCUUGUCACUAUCUUAUUAAAUGUGUGACUGCAUUGUAAAACUUAUUACA